UUGCAACAAAUAAUUUCCAGCUUUUUCGAAAGAGAUGAGUUGUUGAAGCCCUGCUUGAUUUUCUGUUGUUUGAUUGAAAGUCCUACUUGGCGAUUUGGUGAAGAGAGACCAUGGUAAGUCCAAACCUCCUCCGUAUGACCCAAUCCAUAUCAAAAUCAACUUUCAUUCCUUAUGAAUCAAUCCAUCAUCGAUUAUGAACAACCCAACUUCUUAUAGAGCUGAUCA
rnacentral:misc_RNA from 1 species